UGGGGAAUUUUGGACAAUGGGCGCAAGCCUGAUCCAGCCAUGCCGCGUGCGGGAAGAAGGCCUUCGGGUUGUAAACCGCUUUUGUCAGGGAAGAAAUCUUCUGAGUUAAUACCUCGGGAGGAUGACGGUACCUGAAGAAUAAGCACCGGCUAACUACGUGCCAGCAGCCGCGGUAAUACGUAGGGUGCAAGCGUUAAUCGGAAUUACUGGGCGUAAAGCGUGCGCAGGCGGUUUUGUAAGACAGAGGUGAAAUCCCCGGGCUCAACCUGGGAACUGCCUUUGUGACUGCAAGGCUUGAGUGCGGCAGAGGGGGAUGGAAUUCCGCGUGUAGCAGUGAAAUGCGUAGAUAUGCGGAGGAACACCGAUGGCGAAGGCAAUCCCCUGGGCCUGCACUGACGCUCAUGCACGAAAGCGUGGGGAGCAAACAGGAUUAGAUAGCCCUGGUAGUCCACGCCCUAAACGAUGUCAACUGGUUGUUGGGGAAGGUUCCUUCUCAGUAACGUAGCUAACGCGUGAAGUUGACCGCCUGGGGAGUACGGCCGCAAGGUUGAAACUUAAA
rnacentral:rRNA from 1 species